rnacentral:rRNA from 1 species
AAAGGGUGGGACUUUCGGGCCACCUGCCAUAAGAUGAGCCCAAGUGGGAUUAGGUAGUUGGUGGGGUAAAGGCCUACCAAGCCUACGAUCUCUAGCUGGUCUGAGAGGAUGGCCAGCCACACUGGAACUGAGACACGGUCCAGACUCCUACGGGAGGCAGCAGUGGGGAAUAUUGCACAAUGGGGGGAACCCUGAUGCAGCCAUGCCGCGUGAAUGAAGAAGGCCUUCGGGUUGUAAAGUUCUUUCGGUGAUGAGGAAGGUGUUUUGUUUAAUAGACAAAGCAAUUGACGUUAGUCACAGAAGAAGCACCGGCUAACUCCGUGCCAGCAGCCGCGGUAAUACGGAGGGUGCGAGCGUUAAUCGGAAUAACUGGGCGUAAAGGGCACGCAGGCGGAUUGUUAAGUGAGAUGUGAAAGCCCCGGGCUUAACCUGGGAAUUGCAUUUCAGACUGGCAGUCUAGAGUAUUUUAGGGAGGGGUAGAAUUCCACGUGUAGCGGUGAAAUGCGUAGAGAUGUGGAGGAAUACCGAAGGCGAAGGCAGCCCCUUGGGAAUAUACUGACGCUCAUGUGCGAAAGCGUGGGGAGCAAACAGGAUUAGAUACCCUGGUAGUCCACGCUGUAAACGAUGUUGAUUUGGGGAUUGGGCUUUAAGCUUGGUGCCCGUAGCUAACGUGAUAAAUCAACCGCCUGGGGAGUACGGCCGCAAGGUUAAAACUCAAAUGAAUUGACGG